rnacentral:tRNA from 1 species
GCUUCGGUAGCUCAGGUGGAUAGAGCAGUAGCUUCGUAACUACAGGCCGGGGGUUCGAGUCCUCCCCGGAGCACCA